AUUGAACGCUGGCGGCAUGCUUUACACAUGCAAGUCGAACGGUAACAGGCCUUCGGGUGCUGACGAGUGGCGAACGGGUGAGUAAUGCAUCGGAACGUACCCAGAGGUGGGGGUUAACGCAGCGAAAGCUGUGCUAAUACCGCAUGUGAUCUGAGGAUGAAGCCGGGGAACCGCGCGGCAAUGUUUGGCCUCGCGCCUUUGGAGCGGCCUAUGUAGGAUUGGCUGGUUGGUGGGGUAAAGGCCUACCAAGGCGACGAUCCGUAGCUGGUCUGAGAGGACGACCAGCCACACUGGGACUGAGACACGGCCCAGACUCCUACGGGAGGCAGCAGUGGGGAAUUUUGGACAAUGGGCGCAAGCCUGAUCCAGCAAUGCCGCGUGCGGGAAGAAGGCCUUCGGGUUGUAAACCGCUUUUGGCAGGAACGAAACGGUGUCCGCUAAUACCGGGCGCUAAUGACGGUACCUGCAGAAUAAGCACCGGCUAACUACGUG
rnacentral:rRNA from 1 species